AGAUCGGUAACUUUCUCGUCUCCUCUCCCUUUCACCAAAAUCCUUUUUCCAUUUUGCUGAAAAACUAUAUAAACAAUAUACGUCCGCGUCACCCCCACACACUUCGCUCAUGCGUGCUUACCACGCUCCAUUUAGCAUUCACAACGAUGGUGGGACCCACUGCUCAUGCACGACACGUGUCCAUUCGCGCGUGGAGAACCCCUUGUUGGAUGCACUUUGCCCUAGUCGUCUGUGAACACAUCCUUCUCUCUCUAUAUCCACCACGAACCACCACCGUACUCCGAUCACCUUAUUCGAUUUGCUGCCCGUCUCGCCGAUCUACUAGUUUCGCAAAAUUCUGUUUCUGAGGAUUAGAAUGGAACCGAUGGAUAUUGUUGGUAAGACGAAGGAGGAUGCUUCGCUUCCCAAAGCAACUAUGACAAAGAUUAUUAAAGAAAUGUUGCCCCCUGAUGUUCGUGUUGCCCGAGAUACGCAGGAUCUUUUGAUUGAAUGUUGUGUAGAGUUCAUCAAUCUUAUCUCAUCAGAAUCAAAUGAAGUUUGUAAUAGAGAAGAUAAACGAACAAUUGCACCAGAACAUGUACUCAAAGCCUUAGAGGUUCUUGGCUUUGGGGAAUAUACUGAAGAAGUUUAUGCUGCAUAUGAACAACACAAGUUGGAGACUGUGGACACUGUGAGAGCUGGGAAGUUGAGCAAUAAUAUAGCUGAAAUGACUGAAGAAGAAGCAUUAGCUGCACAACAAAGGAUGUUUGCUGAAGCACGUGCGAGGAUGAAUGGAGUUGGUACAGUUCCGCCCAAACAGCAAGACCCGGAAACAGAGCAAAAAUUGGACUGCUAGUGCAAACAUAGGGCGUAGUUUUUCUCUGUAGGCAAGCACCUCUUUAGUUUUUACAGGUUUUAUCAUACAGGAAGCAGAAGGUUGGUGUUGGGAGGAUGUCUAGUGUAAAUAGUGAUGCUUCUUUAGUUCUCUCUUUCACUGUUUUUGUUCAGGUCAAAAAAGAGCCAGUCAAGCUAUUUUUUUCUCACCAUACCCCACAAGAAAGUGAAAUAACACAUCUUAUGUCUCCCUGAGAUUCCUUUCUUUAUUUCAAAACAUUUACCUUUCUCUCCUCACAUCCUCUCAAGCCUUCACUUUUCCCUGUGUUGUGUUGUGUUGUUAUUACUCCCAAUUCCCAUGACACUUGGUGGGGACACUUGUGUUUUUCUUUAUCAGAUUCUUAUUUGUUUGAACAAAGUAGUAGAAGCAAAACAAAUUUUAUAAAAAAUAUAAAAGAGAGAAAAAAGGAAAUCCCUUGAAUAAAGAAGUAGUAGUAACAAGAAUCUCUUUGCCCCUCACUCUUCCAUCACUUUAAAGGUGCAUCUCCUACUCUUUUUUUUUUUAGA